UUUGGUUUUGGGGACUUGGGGUUAAUCUUUUGGUGCAUAUGGUUGUCUUAAACAUGAACACAGUCAAAUUCUGGGAGUCUUGCGUUUAUUUAUCCCACUUUUGAUCAUGAUAUCAUCUUUUGAUACUCUAAAAAGGAGAACAUAAAUGAGAUAGGUAACAUUCUGGAUGAGGUCAAAGCAAACAGAAACUUUUGAUGUUCCCACAUUUUGAUGGCAUCUCAAAGAACACACAAGGAUCAAAAUACAAAUACUAAGAUCUAAUCUCUUGUUGUUCAAACAAUCACUUUUUUAUUUUAGGUAGUGUUGGGUUCGGCAUAUACGUGUGCUUGGAUAAUUUGGACUAUAAGUCCAAAUCAAUAAUUAAAAAAGAAAGAUUGAGAUAGGCUAGGGAUAAGUGAUCAGCGAGCGAGCGGUGAAUGCGUGCAGAGAGAGUGAGAGGAAAGAAUAGAGAGAGAACAAAAAAGAGAAAAUAAUGUUUUUGAGUUUUAUGCUUGACGAUCGGUGGCUAAACGUUGUUAGUUUUGAUCCAAAUUUUAUACGGAGAAUCCUUACAGUAAGCUUUUAUAGUUUACCCUCUCUGAGAUACUUUCAUGAACUAAGAUCUAUAUUCUAGAUAUUCUUGAUGUUAUUGUGAUCCUCUGAUUAUUUUAGAGAAGAUUUACUAUAAAUCUGUUAUCAUUACUAUUGAUAGUGGAAGUUUGAGGUGAACUACGGUCCCGUGAUUUUUCCCGUAUUAGGUUGUUCACGUUAAAAAUUUGGUCUCACUAUAUGAUUAAUUUAUUGCUCUAUUAUUUAUGUCGUGCUGGUUGAUAUUUGCAUUUUGAUAUCAAAUUGGUAUUUUGAUGAGGAACCCAUUUUGAUACAUAAAGAGGGAAAAUAAUUAUUCCGCUUUAACAGAUUUUUCCCAACAAGUGGUAUCAGCGCUACAGGUUAUUUGGUACUAGUUUUACUUGUGUGAUUAAAAUUGAGUAGUUAGAUGAUAUGAUUAAAUUGAACUCAUCAAAUUAUUUCACUUAGAGACAUAUGAUGGAAGAUCUACUUUAUUUCAAAGAUUUGUAUAAACCUAUCAAGGUUAAAGAUAAAUCUAUUACUAUGGACGAUGAAAUGGAAAGUUCAAUAUAGAAAAAUUAUUGCCUAUAUUAGAAGAUGGAUGAAUAUAAACUUGCAUGAGCAUAUUUUAGAUGAAACCAGAGCUGAUGUUGUUUGGCAAAUGUUAGAAAAUCUCUUUGCGGAAAAGACAAUAGAAAAUAGAAUUUCUCUCUUUAGAAAACUUAUAAAUUUAAAGUAUAAAGAUGAUAGUAAUAUUAUUGAGCACAUAAGCCUAUUUUAGAGUCUUACAAAAAAGUUGGUUGCUAUGAAAAUGAAUAUAGAUGAUGAGAUACAAGGAUUAUUACUUCUCAGCUCUUUACUAGAAAGUUGGGAAACGUAUAUGGUAACAAUUUGUAACUCCACACCAGAGGGGACUCUAACUAUAGAUAUAGUUAAAGACAGUUUACUAAAUGAAGAUACUAGAAGGAAAGAAUAGGGUAAAUCUUCUUCUAGUGCAUUUGUUACUAAAAAACAAGAAAUACGUAGAAGAAGUCAUAGCAGAAAUCCACAUAGUUAUAGAGGAAGAUCCAAGUCUAGAAAAGAUAUCAAAUGUUUUCACUGUAAUAGACUAGGUCACAUGAAGAAAGAGUGUAGGUUUUGGAAGCGAGAACAUAAUGAAAUGAAGAAAAAUGAGAAAGAGACCAAUACAGUUGUUGCUGAAGGUAAUAUCACUAUUGUUUAUGAUGACGAUCGUAUCAUUCUUGCAGCUUAGGAUAGUAACUAGGUAAUUGACUCUGGUGCUUCAUUUCAUAUUACUUCUCAUGGUGAUUUCUUUAGAUCUUACACUACCGGUGAUUUUGAUAUCAUCUUUUGAUACUCUAAAAAGGAGAACAUAAAUGAGAUAGGUAACAUUCUGGAUGAGGUCAAAGCAAACAGAAACUUUUGAUGUUCCACCUUUUGAUGGCAUCUCAAAGAACACACAAGGAUCAAAAUGCAAAUACUAAGAUCUAAUCUCUUGUU
rnacentral:lncRNA from 1 species